AUUGAACGCUGGCGGCAUGCCUUACACAUGCAAGUCGAACGGCAGCACGGGAGCAAUCCUGGUGGCGAGUGGCGAACGGGUGAGUAAUGUAUCGGAACGUGCCCAGUCGUGGGGGAUAACGUAGCGAAAGCUACGCUAAUACCGCAUACGAUCUAUGGAUGAAAGCGGGGGAUCGCAAGACCUCGCGCGAUUGGAGCGGCCGAUAUCAGAUUAAGUAGUUGGUGGGGUAAAGGCUCACCAAGCCGACGAUCUGUAGCUGGUCUGAGAGGACGACCAGCCACACUGGGACUGAGACACGGCCCAGACUCCUACGGGAGGCAGCAGUGGGGAAUUUUGGACAAUGGGCGCAAGCCUGAUCCAGCAAUGCCGCGUGCAGGAUGAAGGCCUUCGGGUUGUAAACUGCUUUUGUACGGAACGAAACGGCGAGCUCUAAUACAGUUUGCUAACGACGGUACCGUAAGAAUAAGCACCGGCUAACUACGUGCCAGCAGCCGCAGUAA
rnacentral:rRNA from 1 species